GUAGUCAUGGCCGAGUGGUUAAGGCGAUGGACUUGAAAUCCAUUGGGGUCUCCCCGCGCAGGUUCGAAUCCUGCUGGCUACG
rnacentral:tRNA from 1 species